rnacentral:piRNA from 1 species
UGAAAACAUUAAACCUGUUGGGAUGGA